rnacentral:tRNA from 2 species
GAGAGCGAAGGGGCGGAUGUAGCCAAGUGGAUCAAGGCAGUGGAUUUGUGA